UGUUGUCGCGGACAGAGUUGGGCAUCAUCUUAGUAGUGAGGACGCCAAGAGCCGCAGCUGUUCAUCCGUCAGCGGCAGAAGUUUCCAGAGUGUCAGCAGCAACAGCAACAGUUCGACCUGUGACAGAAGUUGCUGUAGGGACGAAAUGACUCAUCAUCACGAAAGCAACAGCAAUAACAAAAAGAUGAACAAGAAGAAAUCUCACAUGAAACAGAAAACAAUCGACAGCGAUUUCGUUACGUAUUUCAUCUGUCGCCGACCUUGAGAACAUUCACUUUCUCUCUGUUUAACCAAAUCGAAAUUUGUUUAGCUAUUCUGGUAUACUAUGUAUUCCUUCUAUCGUUAUAUGUAUUAUUUAUUUUACAUGUUUUUACUGUUUUUGCACAAAUGAAGGCAAAAUGUAA